UAUUCAAAGCAGGCCAAGAGUUGGUUGUGUAUGUAGAUGGUGAUCAUGAAUUUGUUGUGUUUGACCCGCAGAGUAGCGAAACACAUGAACUUAGCCUAACUGGACAACAAAACCUUGCUACCAUUGAGGAAACAGUAGAACAACUUGGAUAUGCAUCUGUGUAUGGUGAGCUACCCGAGUUUGAGUUGAAGAGCAAGGAUGAUGAGUUGUGGGAAGCAACAGCUCCUUCGAGACCCUCGGAGAGACCGUGGGAGAGUAUAUUCAGUGGAUCAAGUCAUGAUCUUCCACCCCUCACUAAAUUAUGUUCACCUUUUUUGGAGUCCUUGCUGGAAAGGAGGACUACUACUUCUACUACUGCCAUUGUUGAAUGAUCAUUUCCAAUUAAGAAGCAACCAAUGAAUGUUGUUGCUUUGCUGAUAGUUUUGGUCAAAUUAAUUAUGAUUAGCUCAAAAUUAAGGCAAAUCCAUUUUGUUAUUGGAUUUUACAUGAUGAUGUUUUUGUACCAAUGUUUGUGAGUCACAAAAGUAAUAUAAUCUUAUGUUUCAAUUUCCUUUUCUGUUACAAAACAAAAAAUUAUUACAGUAGAGAUAAUACUUUGAGAUAUUGUAAUUUACACUAUUAUUCUGUAAUGAAAAUUUUUGUAUUCUUUUUUC